AUUGAACGCUGGCGGCAUGCUUUACACAUGCAAGUCGAACGGUAACAGGUUAAGCUGACGAGUGGCGAACGGGUGAGUAAUGCAUCGGAACGUGCCCGGUCGUGGGGGAUAACGCAGCGAAAGCUGCGCUAAUACCGCAUACGAUCUGAGGAUGAAAGCGGGGGACCGUAAGGCCUCGCGCGAUCGGAGCGGCCGAUGUCAGAUUAGGUAGUUGGUGGGGUAAAGGCUCACCAAGCCAACGAUCUGUAGCUGGUCUGAGAGGACGACCAGCCACACGGGAACGGAGACACGGCCCAGACUCCUACGGGAGGCAGCAGUGGGGAAUUUUGGACAAUGGGCGAAAGCCUGAUCCAGCAAUGCCGCGUGCAGGAAGAAGGCCUUCGGGUUGUAAACUGCUUUUGUACGGAGCGAAAAGGUCUCCUCUAAUACAGGGGGCUCAUGACGGUACCGUAAGAAUAAGCACCGGCUAACUACGUGCCAGCAGCCGCAGUAA
rnacentral:rRNA from 1 species